UGGACAUAUUAUUGUAUUCGACUGUAUUCACGACGCGAAAUAGGGGAUUACACUGUUUUUAAACGGAAAGUGAAUCAAUUAACAUAAUAGACUCCU
rfam:Nicotiana attenuata strain TT chromosome 2, whole genome shotgun sequence.